rnacentral:RNase_P_RNA from 1 species
GAAGUCAGCCAGACAGUCGCCGCGCCUUCGGGCGGGGAGGAAAGUCCGGGCUCCGCAGAGCAGGAUCUUGGGCCUUAACAGCCGGGCGCCGUGAGGCGACGGAAAGUGGAACAGAGAGCUGAACCGCCGAUGGCUCCUUCGGGAGAUCAGGUAAGGGUGAAAAGGUGCGGUAAGAGCGCACCGCGUCCGUGGUAACACGCGACGGCAGGCUAAACCCCAUCCGGAGCAAGACCAAAUAGGGGGGCGCUAACGUGGCUCGCGUUGUCCCCGGGUAGGUUGCUUGAGCCUGUCGGUAACGGCAGGACUAGAGGAAUGACUGUCCAACGACAAAACCCGGCUUAUCGACUGACUUCCCAC